AUUUUCAAAAUCUUUAGUAGUUUGUUUGCUCCAUCAUGAACAUGGAUUAAAAUUCCUCCUUAUCUGCCCAAAAGAAAAGAGGAGCUUCAUGCUUAAAGACAAGGAGAGAAAUGCAGCGGAACAUGUCAUGUACAUUGCACGUGUUUUGGUUAUAAGACAGACAGGCACUUUGAACACUUAAAACACACAACAUGAAUCCACGAUGCAAGCCAACAAACCUCCCCCUCCCCCUGCCCCUCCCAGGUAGCUCUUUCGAAGAAAGACUGCGGUAUUUCUAGGAACAUGGGUAUGGUGGUGGCAUAAUAAAAACAAAAGCUAUUCGGCAGAACGUUUUGGUCUUUCUUCAUGUGCCACUUUGUGUGGGUCAAAUUGUUGUGGAAAAGGGGUCCUAAUUAGACAGCCGAUCACUACCAUGAAAGGAAAUCAUUAGCUACUAUCCAUGCUUAUAAAACAAGAAUCCAUAUUUUUCCUAAUCGAUGUGAGACUUAUGGUCCAGAAAUAUCAGAGCAAGAACAGAAUGUUCUUGCAACCUAACAUAAGAACAAAGCAUCGACAGCUCCAGAGAAUCUGUGCAAUCUCAGUAUGCGUAUUCCCCAGGCUUGAAAUGAUAUGAUGGUCUCUGCUCCAUAUCAGAAAGAGCUGAGAUGGUUAGAACCUAUCCAUGAAUUGAACAUUCAGAAAUUCCUGUAACUCUCUGAACUGCUCGAAUUCCUCAUCGUCAUAGGUGAGAUAGAAAGGGCAAACAGAGGAGAUUGCAAGAAUCACAGGUCCACAAUCUUCAGUUUGCCAGAACAAGGCAUUGCCGUUUUCACAAGUUCUUAUUCAUUCUUGGGCAUAAAUCGUGAACAGUUCAUAGAAAUGAUCAAUCUGUAUGGUGAGCUACAAGGCAGUUCAAAACAAUAUAUACAAAAAUGAAUAGGCAAAGUUGAAAAGAAUGUUAUUGGAAAAUUGUUUCUAUAAAGAAUAUCCAGAUGUACAACUGUAAAGGUUAAUGAAUGUCAAAUAUAUAAACAAGUUUACAAA